AUAAAUGGAAUUUUCUUCGUGUUAUAGCUAAUCAUUUACAAUAAGAACUUACUAAAAACAAUACAUAAAUGAAAUUUAUAAUGGAAUCUGUUAUCAAUAUACAUGAAUUUUAUAUAGGUUAAAUAAUGUUAACCCCUAAAGAAAAGAAAAACAUGGAAUAUAUUCAUCAUGUGUCGUUGUAAAGAAAGAGAAUUGAAAAUAAAAGAUGAGGCAUAAACUAAAGAAAACUUUUCUAUUUUAAAGAACUUAUUCGGAAUUGCCAAACAUUCCUCAAGAAAUGAUAGAAUAUAGAUAGAAGAUGCCAAGAAUGAAUUUUAAAGUCGUAUUGUAAAUUUGUGAAUUCUUCGUAAAACUGAUGAAUGGGGCCUAUUCAAUAAAACGAAAUUGAAAUACCGAUUCGAAAGAGAUAACAGCAAUUAUCUAUAAGCAAUAACAAAUGCAAUUAUACGGGAUUUUAGAAUGAAAUAAAAGAAACGAAAUAGGAGAUCGAUUUUUUCCUUCCACACUUUCAGUUCAUUCGUUCAAAAGUCUGGUGUCACGUCUACCCUAUAAUCAAUGUAGCGAGCUGGAAGGCUCUAGAUAAGACUGGUGACAAUAUAUACUGUCGACGUAAAUCACACGUGAGACGUGACAAUUGUCAUUGAACAGGCGACGAAGCUACAGGGAAAACGACUUACAACGAAAAUUCAACUUUAAUUGAAUUACAAGAAAAAAUUGUUUGCAACUACAGACUAAUAAUUAUCGCCUAAGGAGAGAAGCCGGGUUUAAGUUCUCUGAUCACGAAAGAAAAUUUAAUAUUUAUGUAGAAUAAUUCCACUUCCUUUUGUAGUAACAUAUGCAAAUACAAUAAAAGUAAAUGUUAAA